AUCGGCAUUGCUGGUGAGCGCUUUGCGCUCGCAGUGCUGUCUCGCUAAUGCUUUUGACCACGGAUGUACUGGCACUGGUAGGUAAGCGGUGAUGAGGAAGGUCGGUGCGAUUUCGCCCCGGCCUUUUUUGUU
rnacentral:sRNA from 1 species